UGAAUACGAGGCACUAAGGUGCUGAAGUAGUGUAUGUCAUACUUCCAAGAAAAGCUUGCACUAUCGUAAGAUAAAAAUGCCUGUACCAUAACCGACACAGGUGGGUAGGUAGAGUAUACUAAGGGGCGCGAGAUAACUCUCUCUAAGGAACUCGGCAAAAUAACUCCGUAACUUCGGGAGAAGGAGUGCCUUAUUCUAUAAGGUUGCAAUAACAAGAUCCAAGCAACUGUUUAUCAAAAACACAGGUCUCCGCUAAGUCGUAAGACGAUGUAUGGGGGCUGACGCCUGCCCAGUGCCAGAAGGUUAAAGAAGUCGGUUAGCAAUUGCGAAGCUGGUAACUGAAGCCCUGGUGAACGGCGGCCGUAACGAUAACGGUCCUAAGGUAGCGAAAUUCCUUGUCGGGUAAGUUCCGACCCGCACGAAAGGCGUAAUGAUUUGGAUACUGUCUCGGAGAGGGACUCGGUGAAAUAGACUUGUCUGUGAAGAUGCGGACUACCUGCACCAGGACAGAAAGACCCUAUGAAGCUUUACUGUAACUUGAAAUUGAAAUUGGACUUUAUUCGCGCAGUAUAGGUGGGAGGCGUUGAUUAUAAUCUUGUGGGAUUAUUGGAGCCAUUAGUGAGAUACCACUCUUGUAAUGUUAGAUUUCUAACUUUGAAUCAUGAUCUGGUCAAAGAACAGUUUCAGGCGGGCAGUUUGACUGGGGCGGUCGCCUCCUAAAUGGUAACGGAGGCGUACAAAGGUUUCCUCUGAACGGGUAGAAAUCGUAUCUAGAGUGUAAAGGCAUAAGGAAGCUUGACUGUGAGACCUACAAGUCGAGCAGGGACGAAAGUCGGUCUUAGUGAUCUGACGGUACUGAGUGGAAAGGCCGUCACUCAACGGAUAAAAGUUACUCUAGGAUAACAGGCUGAUCUCCCCCAAGAGUUCACAUCGACGGGGAGGUUUGGCACCUCGAUGUCGGCUCAUCGCAUCCUGGGGCGGUAGUACGUCCCAAGGGUUGGGCUGUUCGCCCAUGAAAGCGGUACGCGAGCCGGGUUCAGAACGUCGUGAGACAGUUCGGUCCAUAUCCGGUGUAGGCGUUAGAAUAUUGAGAGGAGCCUUCUUUAGUACGAGAGGACCGAGAAGGACAUACCUCUGGUGUACCAGUUAUCGUGCCAACGGUAACGCUGGGUAGCUAUGUAUGGAGUGGAUAACCGCUGAAAGCAUCUAAGUGGGAAGCCCACCUCAAGAUAAG
rnacentral:rRNA from 1 species